GUGAGAAUCCCGUAUGUGACCGGCGACCAACCCCAUGUGAAACUCCUUCGACGAGUCGAGUUGUUUGGGAAUGCAGCUCAAAAUGGGUGGUAUAUUUCAUCUAAAGCUAAAUACCGGCCAGAGACCGAUAGCGCACAAGUAGAGUGAUCGAAAGAUGAAAAGCACUUUGGAAAGAGAGUCAAACAGUACGUGAAAUUGUUGAAAGGGAAGCGCUCGCAACCAGACCUGCCCGCGGCCGAUCAACCGUCCUUCUGGGCGGUGCACUCGGUCGCGAUCAGGCCAGCAUCGGUUCGGGCGGCCGGAUAAAGGCCCUGGGAACGUAGCUCCUCUCGGGGAGUGUUAUAGCCCUCGGUGCAAUGCGGCCAGCCUGGACCGAGGACCGCGCUUCGGCUAGGAUGCUGGCGUAAUGGUUGUGAGCGGCCCGUCUUGAAACACGGACCAAGGAGUCUAACAUCUAUGCGAGUGUUUGGGUGUCAAACCCAUGCGCGUAAUGAAAGUGAACGGAGGUGGGAACCCAUUCGGGCGCACCAUCGACCGAUCCAGAUGUCUUCGGAUGGAUUUGAGUACGAGCAUAGCUGUUGGGACCCGAAAGAUGGUGAACUAUGCCUGAAUAGGGUGAAGCCAGAGGAAACUCUGGUGGAGGCUCGCAGCGGUUCUGACGUGCAAAUCGAUCGUCGAAUUUGGGUAUAGGGGCGAAAGUACGUAUUCAACUUCCUGUCCAUCGAGAAUAAUCAUAUGCUAAUAAUCUUUUCUAGGACUAAUCGAACCAUU
rnacentral:rRNA from 1 species